rnacentral:lncRNA from 1 species
CUGAGGUAGAUCGCAGAAACGCCAUGCCUAUGCUCUGUCUGUGAUAGGACAUCAUGCUGCACUCUGGCUGAAAAGACAUCCCAGUGCCUGGAGCAACACAGUCCUUUCUGUCCAUUACUGCUGGAAAUUCUGCCAGGGAAUUUCACUUUUAGAAUACAAAUAACUGCAGCCUUCAGUGCCUUUGAAGGGGACGGCCUUGCUGCUCUUCCCUUGCUCUUUUAUGGACUUACUUGGCAGAUGAAAGUUAUCUCCAUCAAGGAAAUAGUCUUGGGUUUGGCCACUUUUGAUUUGUAAUGUAUUUGAUAUUGUUUAUAACACUGCUAAAUAAACAGAAUGAUUACCAUGGAUUUGACUCCCUCUAAAACAGAAGGAAAUACUGUGUUACAUGGAAAUACAUGUAAUUUACGUUUAAUAAUUAGUACUUAUUAUGCAG